CACGGUCACUAGCGUCCCCUCAUGUCUCCUGUGUCAGUCAUAAAACAGCGCUCCAUGGACUCCACUGACUUAUUAUGGAGUCUGUUAGAUACAAGGUAUAUCUGCAUGUUGUGCUCUUCUUCUGAUCACAUGUGAGGCUCUGACCAUAAUGCUUUGUAUAUGAAGUCUUGGAAUUACCUUCUUUACUUGUGUAUCUUGUAGGACAAGACGCUGAUAAAGAAGUGGGAGCUUCAGCACCUGUCAUCGAUGAGGUGACAAAACAGCUGGACAAACAAACUCUGGAAAACAAGGAUGAGGAGGAAGAUGAUGGUGAAGGAGAAGGCGAUGGUGCAGGUGGGAAGAAGAAGAAGAAAA